GACGAACGCUGGCGGCGUGCUUAACACAUGCAAGUCGAACGGAAAGGCCCUGCUUUUGUGGGGUGCUCGAGUGGCGAACGGGUGAGUAACACGUGAGUAACCUGCCCUUGACUUUGGGAUAACUUCAGGAAACUGGGGCUAAUACCGGAUAGGAGCUCCUGCUGCAUGGUGGGGGUUGGAAAGUUUCGGCGGUUGGGGAUGGACUGGGGGCUUAUCAGCUUGUUGGUGGGGUAGUUGCUUACCAAGGCUUUGACGGGUAGCCGGCCUGGGAGGGUGACCGGCGACAUUGGGACUGAGAUACGGACCAGAGUCCAACGGGAGGCAGCAGUGGGGAAUAUGGCACAGUGGGGGGAAGCCUGAUGCGGCGACGCCGGGAGCGGGAUGAAGGCCUUCGGGUUAUAAACCGCAGUAGCUUGUGACGAAGCUGGAGUGACGGUACUGGGUAAAGAAGCACCGGCUAACUACGUG
rnacentral:rRNA from 1 species